rnacentral:rRNA from 1 species
AUACGUAGGUGGCAAGCGUUGUCCGGAUUUACUGGGUGUAAAGGGCGCGUAGGCGGGAUGGCAAGUCAGAUGUGAAAUCUCCGGGCUCAACCCGGAAACUGCAUUUGAAACUGUCGUUCUUGAGUAUCGGAGAGGCAAGCGGAAUUCCUAGUGUAGCGGUGAAAUGCGUAGAUAUUAGGAGGAACACCAGUGGCGAAGGCGGCUUGCUGGACGACAACUGACGCUGAGGCGCGAAAGCGUGGGGAGCAAACAGGAUUAGAUACCCGGGUAGUCCACGCCGUAAACGAUGAAUACUAGGUGUGGGGGGACUGACCCCCUCCGUGCCGCAGUUAACACAAUAAGUAUUCCACCUGGGGAGUACGGCCGCAAAGUUGAAACUCAAAUGAAUUGACGGGG